AAAUGCGAUAAGUAAUGUGAAUUGCAGAAUUCAGUGAAUCAUCGAAUCUUUGAACGCACAUUGCGCCCGCCAGUAUUCUGGCGGGUAUGCCUGUCCGAGCGUCAUUUCAACCAUCAAGCCCCCGGGCUUGUGUUGGGGACCUGCGGCUGCCCGCAGGCCCUGAAAACCAGUGGCGGGCUCGCUGUCACACCGAGCGUAGUAGCAAUCACCUCGCUCAGGGCGUGCUGCGGGUUCCGGCCGUUAAACAGCCUUACAAAACCCAAGGUUGACCUCGGAUCAGGUAGGAAGACCCGCUGAACUUAAGC
rnacentral:misc_RNA from 1 species